CUCCAGAUAUUGCUGAACUACAACUCCCAUGAUUUUAUGAAUGAAAUAGGCUGAGAAUCAUGGGAGUUGUACUUCAGCAACAUCUGGAG
rnacentral:miRNA from 1 species